ACACAUUAGAAGAUAAACAAUGUAAAUCACUUGCAGCAUUUUUCUUUAAAUAAUCCAUGGACCUAAAGCUAAGGCUUGACCAUCUUCAUGUAAAAAGGAUAGAACGAAGGAAGGACUUUGGCGGCUAUAAAAGGGAUUUGGAUUCUGGUAGCGAGAACUUUGGCGAACGGAAGAGAGUGAGAAGGACCAGCAACAAUGGAGAAGAGAGUCAA
rnacentral:lncRNA from 1 species